rnacentral:rRNA from 1 species
UACAGAGGGUGCGAGCGUUAAUCGGAGUUACUGGGCGUAAAGGGCGCGUAGGCGGUUUUAAGGGUGUGAUGUGAAAGCCCCAGGCUUAACCUGGGAAGUGCAUCGCAAACCAUGAGACUGGAGUACAAGAGAGGGUGGCGGAAUUUCCGGUGUAGCGGUGAAAUGCGUAGAGAUCGGAAGGAACGUCGAUGGCGAAGGCAGCCACCUGGCUUGAUACUGACGCUGAGGCGCGAAAGCGUGGGGAGCGAGCAGG